rnacentral:rRNA from 1 species
CCUACGGGUGGCAGCAGUGGGGAAUAUUGCGCAAUGGGCGAAAGCCUGACGCAGCGACGCCGCGUGAGGGAUGAAGGUCUUCGGAUCGUAAACCUCUUUCAGCAGGGAAGAACGGUCACUGUGCUAAUCAGCAGUGAAUUGACGGUACCUGCAAAGGAAGCACCGGCUAACUCCGUGCCAGCAGCCGCGGUAAUCCGGCGGGUGCGAGCGUUAAUCGGAAUUACUGGGCGUAAAGCGCUCGUAUGCUGUAUGUCAAGUCAAGGGGGAAAUCCCCGCGCUCAACGUGGGAACUGCCUUUGAAACUGGUAAACUGGAGUGUGUGAGAGGAGAGUGGAAUUCCAGGUGUAGGAGUGAAAUCCGUAGAUAUCUGGAGGAACAUCAGUGGCGAAGGCGACUAUCUGGCACAUAACUGACGCUGAGGAGCGAAAGCGUGGGUAGCAAACAGGAUUAGAUACCCGGGUAGUC